rnacentral:lncRNA from 1 species
UGGGCUGGUCUCCCAGGAGACUGCAGCCCUCGUCAUCCAUCUAUCCUGUGUGUUCAAGAAGGAGUGGACGUCGCCCUGCCAUCGCAGGGCUCACAGCGCAGGGAGGGAAGCCCAUUGGGAAGCCAAGUCAAUGCAGAGGGUGACUCUUUGUCCCAGUUUGCCGUGGAAUGAAGGGUCUUCUGGGAUACGAGACUUUCAGUGCUAAAACCAGGAGAGUCUUGGGUACACCUGGAUGAGCUGGUCACCCUACUUCCAACAUCAGAGGGAAGUAAAGAGAAACUUGGUUGCUCGCUUGGUCAACAUUCAGGAGAAAACACUGCUGAGAAGCCAGGAAUUGGAGUCAGCUUCCACUUAGCUCUACAUUGGGGUUGUCAACAAAAAUAAUCCAUAACCAAUCUAUAAAUGAAAAUUUGGGAGAGUUUAUUCUGAGCUUAAAUCUGAGGAUUAUAACCCGGGGCCUUUCUUCCCUAAGGAAGAAAGGACACCAAAGAAGUGGGGUGCACAG